UACGGAGGGUGCUAGCGUUGUUCGGAAUCACUGGGCGUAAAGGGCGUGUAGGCGGUCUGUUAAGUCUGAUGUGAAAGCCCCGGGCUCAACCUGGGAAUGGCAUUGGAAACUGGCGAGCUUGAGUGUGGCAGAGGGGGGUGGAAUUCCGCGUGUAGCAGUGAAAUGCGUAGAGAUGCGGAGGAACACCGAUGGCGAAGGCAGCCCCCUGGGCUGACACUGACGCUCAGGCACGAAAGCGUGGGGAGCAAACAGG
rnacentral:rRNA from 1 species